ACGCUCGACACCUACUGGAGGCAGCAGUGGGGAAUAUUGCACAAUGGGGGAAACCCUGAUGCAGCGACGCCGCGUGGAGGAAGAAGGUCUUCGGAUUGUAAACUCCUGUUGUUGGGGAAAAAGAGGAUGGUACCCAACAAGGAAGUGACGGCUAACUACGUCNCANAGCCGCGGUAAUCUGAGCGGGCGUGGCAAGGC
rnacentral:rRNA from 1 species